rnacentral:rRNA from 1 species
AACGAACGCUGGCGGCAUGCCUAACACAUGCAAGUCGAACGAGACCUUCGGGUCUAGUGGCGCACGGGUGCGUAACGCGUGGGAACCUGCCCUUAGGUUCGGAAUAACUCCCCGAAAGGGGUGCUAAUACCGGAUAAUGUCUUCGGACCAAAGAUUUAUCGCCUUUGGAUGGGCCCGCGUUGGAUUAGCUAGUUGGUAGGGUAAAAGCCUACCAAGGCGACGAUCCAUAGCUGGUCUGAGAGGAUGAUCAGCCACACUGGGACUGAGACACGGCCCAGAAUCCUACGGGAGGCAGCAGUGGGGUAUAUUGGACAAUGGGCGAAAGCCUGAUCCAGCAAUGCCGCGUGAGUGAUGAAGGCCUUAGGGUUGUAAAGCUCUUUUACCCGGGAUGAUAAUGACAGUACCGGGAGAAUAAGCUCCGGCUAACUCCGUG